rnacentral:misc_RNA from 1 species
UACAACCAUCACGAUGCAACGUCUUCUUGUUCUUGCCUGCCUGGUGGCCGUGGUCGUCGCCGACAGCUACAAGACUCCCAUCCCAAUCCUGAAGGACGACCGCACACAGAACGCUUAUGGCGAGUACACCUUCGACUUCGAGACUGGAAACGGCAUCGCCAGGAACGAGGCUGGAAGGCAGGCUGAUGGACAGGAGUCCUCAGGAGGAUGGAGCUACACCGCUCCCGAAGGCAUCCCCAUCAAGCUGACCUUCACCUCUGGUGCCGGCGGUUACCAGCCCGUAGGCGACCAUCUUCCCGUGGGACCCACACCAGUGCCUCUUCCUUACGAACGCAACGACUACUAAAUCUCUUUUUCUAAGUCUAGUGUCUGCUUCAUAUUGACGAUCUCAGUGAUAUGAAAUGAGCCAUAUUUAUAUUUUCCCCUUUUCACUAUUUAUUGAACGAAUUUCGUUCACGCCUGAUUAUCUUCAAUAAAACCUUAUCUACAAUA